rnacentral:rRNA from 1 species
ACCAGACUCCUACGGGAGGCAGCAGUGGGGAAUAUUGCACAAUGGGGGAAACCCUGAUGCAGCGACGCCGCGUGAAGGAAGAAGUAUUUCGGUAUGUAAACUUCUAUCAGCAGGGAAGAAAAUGACGGUACCUGACUAAGAAGCCCCGGCUAACUACGUGCCAGCAGCCGCGGUAAUACGUAGGGGGCAAGCGUUAUCCGGAUUUACUGGGUGUAAAGGGAGCGUAGGCGGCGAUGCAAGUCAGAAGUGAAAGCCCGGGGCUCAACUCCGGGACUGCUUUUGAAACUGUGUUGCUAGAUUGCAGGAGAGGUAAGUGGAAUUCCUAGUGUAGCGGUGAAAUGCGUAGAUAUUAGGAGGAACACCAGUGGCGAAGGCGGCCUGCUGGACGAUGACUGACGUUGAGGCUCGAAAGCGUGGGGAGCAAACAGGAUUAGAACCCCGUA